GUUCUUUUUUUUUUUUUUUUUUU
rnacentral:misc_RNA from 1 species